GAUGAACGCUGGCGGCGUGCCUAAUACAUGCAAGUCGAGCGAACGGACGAGGAGCUUGCUCCUCUGACGUUAGCGGCGGACGGGUGAGUAACACGUGGAUAACCUACCUAUAAGACUGGGAUAACUUCGGGAAACCGGAGCUAAUACCGGAUAAUAUAUUGAACCGCAUGGUUCAAUAGUGAAAGACGGUUUUGCUGUCACUUAUAGAUGGAUCCGCGCCGCAUUAGCUAGUUGGUAAGGUAACGGCUUACCAAGGCGACGAUGCGUAGCCGACCUGAGAGGGUGAUCGGCCACACUGGAACUGAGACACGGUCCAGACUCCUACGGGAGGCAGCAGUAGGGAAUCUUCCGCAAUGGGCGAAAGCUUGACGGAGCAACGCCGCGUGAGUGAUGAAGGUCUUCGGAUCGUAAAACUCUGUUAUUAGGGAAGAACAAAUGUGUAAGUAACUAUGCACGUCUUGACGGUACCUAAUCAGAAAGCCACGGCUAACUACGUG
rnacentral:rRNA from 1 species